GUGUGUUUUGUGCCUUGAUUUUCUCUGUUUUUGAAUGGAAAGUUGCAGCUUUGGAAUCAUCGGAAUAAAAAAUUUGGAACUUUUCGGCCUCGAUUCCACUGGCUGUUCUUCUUGUUUCUUCUUCCUUCUGAAAGAUUGAAUUUUCAUCUGGCGAUUCAAUCUUCGUCUUCGAUCUCUUGCUCAGUUUCGAAUCUGGAUUCCGGAGAUACUCUUCUCCCUUUUUGGGUUCCUGAGUCGAGUCAACUCCUUGGAUUCGCUUUCCAGUGUGGGGUUUAGGGUUUUUUAUUGCUUACCAUUUUUUUUUUUUCUCUUCGUUCCCUUUUCUCCGCUUGGAUUUGGAUCGUCUCCAUAGGGCAAUUUCUUAAAGGUUUAAGAUUUCUGAUUGGUUUCUAUUAAACAUAUCUGAAAUUUGAGGCGUAGGAGGCGGCGAUGUCAUCGUGCCUCAGCGGCGGCGGCGGCGGCGGCCGGACCUACGGCUUCGACCUCGACCUGGUGAAGCCCCCGCCACCGACGUCGUCCCGCUCCUCGCACACCUCCUCGCCUUCCUCCACGCUCUCCGAAUCGAGCAACUCGGCGCUCGCAAUCUCCAUCAAGAAGGCGAGGGCGCCCAGGAAGCGGCUCAACCAGACCUACAACGAGGCUGCCGCCCUCCUCUCCACUAUCUACCCCAACGUCUUCUCCACUACGGGCCUCAAAAAGCUUUCCAAGAGCUCGGUGAGGCACUUCUCUUUCCCAGAACCAUCCGACGACCUCCUCCUCCCACCCCUUCCCGUGCUCUUCGACGCCGCAUUCCUCCUCCGCAAGCCCCAUCUGGAGGAGCCCGCCGCCGCCGCCCAGAUCGAGUUCAAGAACAGGUUUACGACCGACAAGGACUGCAGGAGCCCAGCGAGCAGCAGUGCCACCUGCUCCUUUGAGCCUAAUUCACCUCAACCAUUCGACGAUGACUUUGAUGCGGAGUCCAUCCUCGAGGAGGAGGUUGAGGAAGGCAUCGACAGCAUCAUGGGCAACCUCAGCGUCAGCAUCCCUUCCGAGCAGGACAACAGUGGUGGACUUCUCUGUGGUAGUUCCUCUAUCAAUCCCCUUCUUCGUAGCCUCAUCGGAUGUAGAAUCAACGGCAGCCAUACUGAUAAGAUCGAGCUUGGGUUCGGGCUAGGGCUCGAGCAGAACUUGCAGUGGGCACUGAAGGCCCAGGACGACUGCGAGUGGUGGCGGACUCCUACGGUGCCAGUGCAAAAUAUUGUACCGAACUUUAAGACUCCAGCAUCAAAGGCAGCAUCGGAGAAGAAGAAGAAAAAGAAGGUAGAGAAGGAGAAAAUGUGCUGCAAGAAGAUUACAAAUAGAACAGUUUCUACUGAUACUCCAAAAGGGAAAUUGAAGGCUAGUUUGGGGCUCAAACUGAAUCAUGAGGAGGUGCUUAAGGAAUGGUCAGACCGCAGCUCCAUGUUCCUCGAUGGGGCUGGCUCACCGGAGUCGUCUGCCAACGCUCUGGCUAAGUUGGCGGACCUCGACCUUCUUCCUGAUGCCAGUGGGGGAAGGGAAACAAGUGUAACGAAGUACAAAGAGAAGCGGAGGAGCAGGCUUUUCUCUAAGAAAAUCAGAUACCAGGUGCAAAAGAUGAAUGUAGAUAAACAACCUAGGAUGAAGGCAGGUCCAUGAGGAAUCUACCCCUUCUCCAGCAGGCAAUUAAAGAAGAAAGCCAGUGAUUUCAUGACCUGGGGCUAAUGCACCUCAGGAAGGCAAAGUUUGAGGGUUUGCAGUAGCUUAUUGCAACAGGGAGUUACUCCAGAAAGGAACAACAGAAAAGCCAGGGCAAGACAACAUGAGGAAGAGAGAUUAUUUCAUGCCAGAGCAAACAUUAUAUGGGAAAAGCCACAACGUGGAGGCCAUGGAGCGCACUUCUUUUAUGUUUAUUAAAAAGAAACCUUGUGAAAAUGCAGUUUUCUGGAGCCUUUAUAUCUUGUUUAAUUAUUUAAAGGAAAGUCGUCUUCAAGUACUUGGUCAUGAAUGCCAAAUACUAGUUUACGUAUUCAUGGACUUGGGGCAUUCUUGAUAUGUAGGGCUUCUUUGAAUUAUCAUUUUGCAACUUCUGCAUUUGAAAA